rnacentral:rRNA from 1 species
AAAGAAACUAACAAGGAUUCCCCUAGUAACGGCGAGUGAAGCGGGAAAAGCUCAAAUUUGUAAUCUGGCGCCUUGGGCGUCCGAGUUGUAAUCUCGAGAAGUAUUUUCCGCGCUGGACCGCACAUAAGUCUGUUGGAAUACAGCGUCAUAGUGGUGAGAACCCCGUAUAGGGUGCSGAUGCCCAGUGCUUUGUGAUAUACUUUCGAAGAGUCGAGUKGUUUGGGAWUGCAGCUCAAAUUGGGUGGUAAAUUCCAUCUAAAGCUAAAUAUUGGCGAGAGACCGAUAGCGAACAAGUACCGUGAGGGAAAGAUGAAAAGCACUUUGGAAAGAGAGUUAACAGUACGUGAAAUUGUUGGAAGGGAAACGCUUGAAGUCAGACUUGCAUUUUGGAGUUCAGCCGCAAGGUGUAUUCUUCAAUUCGCAGGCCAGCAUCAGUUUUUGGGGGUGGAAAAGCGCGGUUCGAAGGUAGCAGUCUCGGCUGUGUUAUAGCUUGCCGCUGGAUCACUUUUGGGGACUGAGGAACGCAGUACACUUUUUGCAAGAUUCUCGGAUCUUUCGUACUUAGGAUGCUGGUGGAAUGGCUUUAAACGACCCGUCUUGAAACACGGACCAAGGAGUCUAACAUGCUUGCGAGUGUUUGGGUGUUAAACCCGGACGCGUAAUGAAAGUGAAUGGAGGUGGGAUCCGCAAGGUGCACCAUCGACCGAUCUGGAUUUUCUAAGAUGGAUUUGAGUAAGAGCAAUUAUGUUGGGACCCGAAAGAUGGUGAACUAUGCCUGAAUAGGGUGAAGCCAGAGGAAACUCUGGUGGAGGCUCGUAGCGGGUUCUGACGUGCAAAUCGAUCGUCAAAUUUGGGUAUAGGGGCGAAAGACUAAUCGAACCAUCUAAUGUUGCUUGGUGGUUAAUAGGGACUUCAAAGUAGAGCCCUAGUGGGAGUGGUAACUUGCGACACUUUCAAAUUGCGGGGACGCCCUUAGAGCUCUGAUUACGGCGGCUCAUCGAAAGAUAGAGUGCAGCAGCAGGUUAAUGGCCUCGCGGAUCGUAAAAACAUCAGAGAUUGGGUAAUCCGCAGCCAAGUCCUAAAGGGUACCUUUCAGCUACCCCAUGGAUGCAGUUCAUCGACUAAAUGGAAGUGGGUGCCCUUCCUUUACCGGAAGGGUGCUUGAGAUAUAGUCAGCCCCUCGUGAGAGCGAGCUAAUGGGACUAAGAGUCGCUUCGUUUUUACCACUUGCAAACGACGAUUCCCGAGCCCAUUGGGGUCUAAGAGGAAAUAGUAAAACUCGAAGACUGGAUUACGUGCUAGUAGCUGGUUCCUGCCGAAGUUUCCCUCAGGAUAGCAGAAACUCACAUCAGUUCUAUGAGGUAAAGCGAAUGAUUAGAGGCCUUGGGGUUGAAACAACCUUAACCUAUUCUCAAACUUUAAAUAUGUAGGAAGUCCUUGCUACUGAUGAGC